rnacentral:rRNA from 1 species
AUUGAACGCUGGCGGCAGGCUUAACACAUGCAAGUCGAGCGGAGAGAGGUAGCUUGCUACUGAUCUUAGCGGCGGACGGGUGAGUAAUGCUUAGGAAUCUGCCUAUUAGUGGGGGACAACAUUUCGAAUGGAAUGCUAAUAACGCAUACGUCCUACGGGAGAAAGCAGGGGAUCUUCGGACCUUGCGCUAAUAGAUGAGCCUAAGUCGGUUUAGCUAGUUGGUGGGGUAAAGGCCUACCAAGGCCACGAUCUGUAGCGGGUCUGAGAGGAUGAUCCGCCACACUGGGACUGAGACACGGCCCAGACUCCUACGGGGGGCAGCAGUGGGGAAUAUUGGACAAUGGGCGGAAGCCUGAUCCAGCCAUGCCGCGUGUGUGAAGAAGGCCUUAUGGUUGUAAAGCACUUUAAGCGAGGAGGAGGCUACUUUAGUUAAUACCUAGAGAUAGUGGACGUUACUCGCAGAAUAAGCACCGGCUAACUCUGUGCCAGCCGCCGCCGUAA